rnacentral:ncRNA from 1 species
UUUAAAGCUAUGAUAGAGAGAAAAAUGCUAUGUUUUAAUUUUAGAGAGCCAAUAAUUGCUGAAAAUUGGUAUUAAAGCUUGUAUAUAAUGAUCACUCUUGAGCAUCCUUACUGAAAAUAUAAAGUAAGCGAGGACGUUUGCCUACGAUAUAGGGUUAAAGUUUGUUUAAUUAAUGAUUACACAGAUUCUACAUUUAAGAUAUUUCAUUUGAAAUAUGAAGUAAGGUGGUACCACGGAUAUAACUUCCGUCCCUAUA